UUGACAGGAAGGAGCCUCAAGAUUUCUGUCGUGGCCUCUGCCUUUCCAGGUGUUGUAUAACAUCGUUUUCCUCUAUGCCAAGAAGGAGAAAUGGAAGAAGGCCGAAGAACAACUCACACUGGCCACCAACAUGAAGUCUGAGCCCAGGCACUCCAAAAUCGACAAGGCGAUGGAAAGCUUCUGGUUUUUGGCAGACACAACAUCUUUGUUUGUAUGUGGUGCUGAGGAUCGAACCUGGGCCGCACGCAUGCCAGGUGAGCGCGCUACCACUUGAGCCACAUCCCCAGCCCUGGUGAAAAUUUCUUGACAGAAGUAGUUAAGGUUAAAUGGGUAAUGAAGGUAAGGCCCUGAUCCUAGAAGACUGGAACCCUUAUAAAAAGAGAUAAUGGAGAGUUCUUUUUGCCUUUCUCUCUCUUUUUGUCUGAGCGUGCACAAGGAAAAGGACAUGUGAAGACACGGCAAGAAGGCAGCCCUCUACAAACCAGGAAAAGUCCUCCCCUGAAACCAAAUUGGUUGACACUUCAAGUUUGGACUUCCCAGCCCCCAAAAUUGGUCUAGUCUCUGCCCUGCAGGUUUAAAAACUGGAUCUGUCAGCAGACUGAGUGCACAUCCAUCUCUCAGCUUUAAUUAAUUAAGCAUGAAGAACUGAUGCAUGAAACCAGCAUGUCAAUUUAUUGAUUCACAAGAGGACUGGAACUGCCUCUGUGUCUGGAAUGCUUGUCUCUUCUCACAUCAUCUUCCACUGAAGACAGACCUCUAAGGAAGGUAAAUAUCAGAAAGUUGCUCAGUGAGUAACUUCAUCCCCAGAUGAAGGGAACUGGAUGGCUCAAAUGUUUAAUGGCAGUGAACUGCCAUUUUUACUUUAAGAAUAGUCUUUCUAACGGCAAAAAUAAUUCAAAACCAUUGUCUGAGGCUCUGUCUGCAGAGGGCACUUCUUCAAUAGGUAUUUUCCUCACAGUGACAGAAGCUAACUAACAAACCAUCUUUUACAAAUAGGUACCUGAAAUCAUCUCAUACAACUCAUAUAUGACACUGGUUCUGAACUCAAAGUAUUUGUGGGUUUGUACCAGCCAGCUUUAGGCAGCCCAUAAGGGCUUCAACUAUUUUAAGAAUGGAAUGGUCAUCAAAACUCUCCAGAGCUGGAGCUGUGGCUCAGCGGUAGAAUGGUUGCCUUGCAUGUGUGAGGCAUUGAGUUCUAUCCUCAGCACUACAUAAAAAUAAAUAAAAAACAAAAUAAAGGUAAAAUAGGUAAAAAAAAAUUAGAUUAAAAUACACAUUUUUAAUAGAAUAACUUCUCCAAAACAAAGAUUAAAUGAGUGGAUUUUUAAAAACAAUUUUGCAAGUCUCUUGAACAUUUGGCUUAAUAGAACAUAGUAGAUUCUCACGUCUGCAUUGUUUUCAGUCUGUUACCAUAUCACACACCGUAUAGCCUCUGGAAAACUCUACCUCAUACCUUUGAGAGAAUGAGAGAACAAGGCCAUAACAUCUUAUACUAGCUUUCUAGGGGUGCCACAAUGAAAUACCAUGAACCAGGUGGCUUAGAACAGAUCCUUAUUCUCUCAUCAUGGAGGAGGCCAGAGGUUCAAAUCAAGAUGUCAGCAUGAUUGGGUUCUUCUGUAGGCUCUGAUAGACAAUCUGUUUCUAUGCCUCUCUCCUAACUCUUGGUGUUUGUCAGCCAUCCUUGGCUUGUGGCUUCAUCACUCCAUUCUUUCUGUCUUUUUUUUUCCCCCAAAUUUAACUGGAUAUUCUGUGGUUUUAUUUUUUUAUUUUUUAAAUUUGUUUUAAUUAGUUACACAUGUCAGUACAAUGAUCUUGACAUAUACAAUUGAAUCAGAUGGAAUAUAAUUUCUCAUUUUUCUGAGUGUACAGGUUGCAGAAUUAUAUUGGU